GCCUCCAAAUGCGACCCCAGGAUGGGCGGGAU
rnacentral:rRNA from 1 species